rnacentral:rRNA from 1 species
UACGGGGGGGGCAAGCGUUGUUCGGAAUUACUGGGCGUAAAGGGUGCGUAGGUGGUCGGGUAAGUCUCAUGUGAAAUCCCGCAGCUUAACUGCGGAACGGCAUGGGAUACUAUUCGGCUCGAGGAUUGGAGGGGGGACUGGAAUUCCCGGUGGUAGCAGUGAAAUGCGUAGAUAUCGGGGAGGAACACCAGUGGCGAAGGCGAGUCCCUGGACAAUUCCUGACGCUGAGGCACGAAGCCAGGGGAGCAACGGG